GCUGGCGGCGUGCCUAAUACAUGCAAGUCGAGCCUUCGGACGAGAAGCUUGCUUCUCUGAUGUUAGCGGCGGACGGGUGAGUAACACGUGGAUAACCUACCUAUAAGACUGGGAUAACUUCGGGAAACCGGAGCUAAUACCGGAUAAUAUUUUGAACCGCAUGGUUCAAAAGUGAAAGACGGUCUUGCUGUCACUUAUAGAUGGAUCCGCGCUGCAUUAGCUAGUUGGUAAGGUAACGGCUUACCAAGGCAACGAUGCAUAGCCGACCUGAGAGGGUGAUCGGCCACACUGGAACUGAGACACGGUCCAGACUCCUACGGGAGGCAGCAGUAGGGAAUCUUCCGCAAUGGGCGAAAGCCUGACGGAGCAACGCCGCGUGAGUGAUGAAGGUCUUCGGAUCGUAAAACUCUGUUAUUAGGGAAGAACAUAUGUGUAAGUAACUGUGCACAUCUUGACGGUACCUAAUCAGAAAGCCACGGCUAACUACGUGCCAGCAGCCGCGGUAAUACGUAGGUGGCAAGCGUUAUCCGGAAUUAUUGGGCGUAAAGCGCGCGUAGGCGGUUUUUUAAGUCUGAUGUGAAAGCCCACGGCUCAACCGUGGAGGGUCAUUGGAAACUGGAAAACUUGAGUGCAGAAGAGGAAAGUGGAAUUCCAUGUGUAGCGGUGAAAUGCGCAGAGAUAUGGAGGAACACCAGUGGCGAAGGCGACUUUCUGGUCUGUAACUGACGCUGAUGUGCGAAAGCGUGGGGAUCAAACAGGAUUAGAUACCCUGGUAGUUCCACGCCAUAAACGAUGAGUGCUAAGUGUUAGGGGGUUUCCGCCCCUUAGUGCUGCAGCUAACGCAUUAAGCACUCCGCCUGGGGAGUACGACCGCAAGGUUGAAACUCAAAGGAAUUGACGGGGACCCGCACAAGCGGUGGAGCAUGUGGUUUAAUUCGAAGCAACGCGAAGAACCUUACCAAAUCUUGACAUCCUUUGACAACUCUAGAGAUAGAGCCUUCCCCUUCGGGGGACAAAGUGACAGGUGGUGCAUGGUUGUCGUCAGCUCGUGUCGUGAGAUGUUGGGUUAAGUCCCGCAACGAGCGCAACCCUUAAGCUUAGUUGCCAUCAUUAAGUUGGGCACUCUAAGUUGACUGCCGGUGACAAACCGGAGGAAGGUGGGGAUGACGUCAAAUCAUCAUGCCCCUUAUGAUUUGGGCUACACACGUGCUACAAUGGACAAUACAAAGGGCAGCGAAACCGCGAGGUCAAGCAAAUCCCAUAAAGUUGUUCUCAGUUCGGAUUGUAGUCUGCAACUCGACUACAUGAAGCUGGAAUCGCUAGUAAUCGUAGAUCAGCAUGCUACGGUGAAUACGUUCCCGGGUCUUGUACACACCGCCCGUCACACCACGAGAGUUUGUAACACCCGAAGCCGAAGGAGUAACCUUUUAGGAGCUAGCCGUCGAAGGUGGGAC
rnacentral:rRNA from 1 species